CGCCUUGCCAUCCUUCAGCACAUUCAUCAUGACAGCAUCGCAGAAUCGCUCAUUCCCCGUUCAUAAAAUGUGAGGACAAAGGGCUGAAUAUCUGCGAUAUUUUUAGAGCGCAGUCACACGGAGGCGGAGCACAGAUGCUUCGGCCAAGGAUGCGAGUGUCAAACAGCAGGUGGAGACUGACUGACUGACUGAAGGAAAGAACGAGACGAGAACCGACCACAAAAACACAUUUGAUGAGGAGGAGAGGACAUAUCAGCCUCCCGAUCCCCUCUGAAUGAGUGGGCCCUGAUAUCGUGAACCAUGGUGGAUCCAUUGGAGCCUGAUGACCAGAGUAAAUUCAGAGGGACCCAGUCUGAAAGCCCAGCUGUAGCCUCUGAAGCACCAUGUCUACCUGAGCCAGGUGAUGAUCGAGAGACAGAUGUUAGUGUGGAUUCCAGCCCACAGACUACUGAUCCUGUACCGAGCUCUCAAGAACCAUGCCAGCAACAAAACAGUCAACCAGAAGAGCAAAAACUACAUCUGGAUCUUUACAAUUUUGACUCUCCAGUCGCAGAGGGUAGUCGGUAUGUCCUGACAAGCCCUCGCUCUCUCGAGGCAUGCGCACGUUGUGGAGUGAAACCUGUGGAACUUCUGGCUCGUCCACUGUCUGAUUUUGCCCGUGAGGCACCCGGCCGCAGCAUGCGUGUCGCCACAGGAAUGUUUGAGAUAUAUGAGAGGGAUAGACAUGCUAAACUCCGACACUGCAGAGAGGAAAGAGAGCGGAUUAUCAGAGAGGAGAAGAGGCGAAAUCUUCAGGCGGCUCUCAACAACAAUGGUGGUCCGCUGUCUUCAGAGAAGUCACAGGAAACCGUCAAUGCUAAUAAUAAUCAUAGUUUAACAAAUCAAGCCCACAAAAUAGCACCUACCUGCAGUGGUGCACCCAAAAAGCAAUCUGCAACAUCUAAUCCUAAAAGCAUGACAGCGGGAUCAGGACCAGUGUCAUCAUCGUUCUCAAAAGCCAAUCCGGUGAACUCUGCUACUACCGCUAAAGGAACGUCUGCAAAAAAGCCCAAGUCCCUUCAAGUAGAGUCUGGGGGAAAACCUUCAAUAAUCCAACGAUCAAAUCCGUCAGCUCCAGGAGGUCAGGCCACAAAAAAAACGUUCAGUACUCCUACAAAGGCUCCAAAUACCUUCCCCAGAUCAAUACAAAAACCUCCUUCUUUUCCAAGGACAUCAACUUCACUUGCCCCGAUAGUGUCGAAAUCUUCUGCCCAGAGUCCUGCCAAUGGCAUCACAAGUACGUUUGCACAGCACAAUGGACACAUCAUCUCCAAAUCAAAGGUUAAAUGCAGAAGCCACUCGCUGGAGUCUUUGCAACGAAGGCGUGACGCGUUUUGUUCCUCGACUGCUUCAACAACGAACACCACAACUACUACAUGCACCUCCUCUGAAUCUGCUUCCUCUUCCUAUAGCUGGGAAGGGGCAAGAGAUCACUGGGCUAAGACAUCAAGCCCCCGUGCCCGCACUUUAGCCACCUUUAACUCUCUGAUGGGUCGCAGUUUAAGCUUGGGAGACCUCAGCCACUCUCCACAGACUAUGCAAAAAGUGGAGCGCAUCGUGAAGGAGGUGAAACGCAGAGGACUUAAAGCUGUUCCAGAACGUGACCGAAAGAUUGCCGCAUUAAUGCUCGCCAGGUACCAAGAGGAGGACAUAAUGAGCCAGACACGCUACGUAGCACACCUGCAAUGGGACAGCGAGAAGCGGCUGGAGGAGCUGCGACGGGAACGCGAAGAGCGGGAGAAACAGAGGGCCGUGCAGCAGUGCCAACGAGCAUGGCAGUCGCAAGUUUCUACCCGGCAGCGUUGGCUCAACCAGCAGGAGCGAGAGGCUGCCGAUGCCAAACUCCGCCAAGCGGUGGAAAGUGAGGAGCGUUGGAGGGAAUUGGCCGAGCAACAAGAACGCAGCCGAUUGCAGAAACUGCAACAGGCUGCUCGCGAGGAGAAACACAAGAAGUCAUUACAAGAACAGAACCUUAAAGCUCUGGAGGAGGACCGAGCCGCCGUUCUGGAGCAAGAGAAGCUGCUCCUCAAGGAGAAACUGACUAUUGCUGAGCUUAAGCGGCAGGAGCGAGAGCACCAACUACAAGAGGAGCGUCGUGGACUCAACCGUGCCGAGAAGAGGCGCCAUGCGGCUCUUAUCCAAGAGAUUGCACGUCGGGAAGCAGACGAGCGCGAAGAAGCUCGGAGAACUGCCGACGAGAAGCUAAAUAGGUCUUUGGAGAACUACGAGCAGAUACAAGAAAGACGUGGGCAGGAGCUAAAGGAGAAGGCCAAGCGGGAAGAGAAGCAGAUCCAGAAAGCAAGACGGGCCGCCGAGCUGCGUGAGCAACAGCUUAAGGAACAGAUGGAGGCAAAGGCUCGGGAAGCUGAAAGACGAGGACAACAAGCCGCUCAAGUGGCCGAAGUGCGGGCGCGGGAGAAGGCCCAACGUGCGGGGCAAAGCAGGCAGGAAAAGGAACGACUUCAGAGGCUCAACCGUCAACGCGUAGAGGAAGAGGAGAAACAGCGCCGGCUAGAAUUGCUGCAGUCCAUUGAGCGCAAACUGGAAAAAAGUGAACAGAUUUUCCGAGAAAAACGCGCGGUGUUGGAAAGCGCCCGAUCCGUUGCCCGGGCAUCUUUCCACGUGCGAGAUCGUGUUCGCGAGGAGACAAACAUGCGCACCUUCGACAAGAUGGCCCUGGAGGCUCAGUUAAAGGCACAUUUAGUUGAGAAGUGAGCAACUGUGCAACUUAUUCGCUCUUUCCAUGCACAUCUGUCUAGAAAUAAGUUGUGCUUGAGCCUACAUGCUAGCCUCAUUACCAAACUACAGCAACACAAACUGAUGGUGUUUUACCUAAAGAUUCACUAUUCCUGAUGCUGGAUCAUUUUCAUCAUGUCAUCUAAAGAAAUAUUUUUCUGUAUUUAUAUAUUUUAAAUGUUAAUCGAAGAACUUUGUGCUUAUGUGUGGAUGAUCAUAUGUCGGGGCAUGAUUGUUUUGGUUUUUUUGUAACUUGGCAGCCAUGUUGCUUUGAGAGCUGUAUAUAAAGAGUUCAUUGUUUACAACGACGUUUGUCACUAUGGCGACAGUGAUGGCUUCUUUCUAAGGGUGGCUUUAUUUCUUAGAGGAAGAGAAAGAAAAGGGGACGGGAUGCUUCUCCCAGAGUCCCAGAGUAAAUCUUUUGAGGGAGACUCGAAGCCAUGACUUGAUGAGUGUAAACCAAACUCUGGCGAAAUGCUGAUCUAGCAUUGCAUCCUAGACAAGGACAUGACAAAGAAUGAUCUCAGCACAGUGUAACUGCUGAUGAAGCACAAGAGUCUUUGGUCAGCAAUUCCACACUGACAUCCCCGGCAUUCCUUCAGGUUUGGAAGCGGAGAAGAUGAUGACAUCUGCGACCUGAUUCAGUAAAGUAUAACCUCCAGGAGACUGCAAAAGACAUUUCACUUUAAUUAUGGACCCUUAUUCCCUCUCUGGCAGUGACUCAGCUAGGCAUGAUGUAACUGGAAGGUUUAAUAAACACCGAAGCCAUUUUACAUUCAGCAUAUCCAGAUGGCUCAACAACAACAACACUUUUAAUAGCAUAAAAGGUAAAAAAAACUCAGUUUUAAUGAUGAUAACCAAAAGAGAGUUCUGAAUGUAAUUCAUACUCGAGCCAUAACAGCUUUUUAGGGCUAUCUGGAAAGCAAGCUAAAUAUAAUACAGAUCUUGAUUUGUUCACACUGACAUUUUUGAAUAUCAGUUUUGCUGUAGUAAAUUUGACCAGCAAUGACUUGAAGAUGAUUGUAGCAUUAUUAUGUUAAAUCUUAAAAGUAUAUCUUAUCAAGGUGUUAUUACCGUUCUUUUAAUGAUCUAAAUAAAAAUAUGUUUCUUGUGGCAGCAGAUGUUUUAUUUCUCAAAGAAGGAACAUGCAGGGUGAUACUUUAUCAGAGAACAAAUUACUCAGUUUUGAACAUAACAUUCUGUAUUAAAAAUAAAUAAAUUCUAAACAAUG